rnacentral:rRNA from 1 species
CAGAGGUGGCAAGCGUUGUUCGGAAUUACUGGGCGUAAAGGGCGCGUAGGCGGUCCGAUAAGUCCCGUGUGAAAUCCCUCGGCUCAACUGAGGAAUGGCACGGGAAACUGACGGGCUUGAGUUCGGGAGAGGGAAGCGGAAUUCCGGGUGUAGCGGUGAAAUGCGUAGAUAUCCGGAGGAACACCGGUGGCGAAGGCGGCUUCCUGGACCGACACUGACGCUGAGGCGCGAAAGCUAGGGGAGCAAAACGGGAUUAGAUACCCCGGUAGUCCUAGCUGUAAACGAUGAGUGCUGGGUGUAGGGGGUAUCUACCCCCCCUGUGCUGAAGCUAACGCAUUAAGCACUCCGCCUGGGGAGUACGGUCGCAAGGCUG